rnacentral:rRNA from 1 species
AAUCUACCUAGUAGAAGGGGAUAGCCCGAGGAAACUCGGAUUAAUACCGUAUACGUCCUUAGGGAGAAAGAGGGCUUAGCUUUGAUGCUCUCGCUAUUAGAUGAGCCUGCGUAAGAUUAGCUUGUUGGUGAGGUAAAGGCUCACCAAGGCGACGAUCUUUAGCUGGUCUGAGAGGACGAUCAGCCACAUUGGGACUGAGACACGGCCCAGACUCCUACGGGAGGCAGCAGUGGGGAAUAUUGGACAAUGGGCGCAAGCCUGAUCCAGCCAUACCGCGUGUGUGAAGAAGGCUUUCGGGUUGUAAAGCACUUUAAGUAAGGAAGAACAGAGUUAUUGUUAAUACCAAUACUCCGUGACAUUACUUACAGAAUAAGGACCGGCUAAUUCCGUGCCAGCAGCCGCGGUAAUACGGAAGGUCCAAGCGU